rnacentral:lncRNA from 1 species
CUGAACUACCUUGCUGUAAACCAUUCAUAGAAAUUGAUUAUAAUAACGAUCAUCUUAGAAAUCAAUACUUCAAUGGCGCAAAAAGAAUUAGCAAUAUAAUACCUUUUGAAGCUUUUCACAUGUGUGAAGAUGAAGAAGAUAAAUUUAAGCUGAGAUUAGUUAUGUUAGUUGAGUGUGUAUUGAAACCGACUUCAAGACAAAUUGAUUAUAGAACUCUGGGCAUGGUUGAAGAUGAGUUCCUUACAUAUCCAUGGGGUCGGAUAACAUAUUUCGUUUUGUUAAAUUCAUUGAAAGAGUCACAAUUGGAAAGAAUACUAAGGAUGCAACAGAACCAACAAACAGAAUGUAAGUAUGCACUACAAGGCUAUCCACUCCCAUUUCAGGUAUUCUGUUCCUAUUCUAAUUACUGACAUAUUAUGUAUUAUUUCUUUGUACAAUGAAUAAAUUAUAUAUAUCACAUUUAUCUUUAAUUAUAUUGCAGUAUUGGAUAUAUGAAGCGUUUCUACAGAUUGGACAAAAGUUUGGUCGUCGUAGAUACAAAACGG